AUACGGAGGAUCCGAGCGUUAUCCGGACUUAUUGGGUUUAAAGGGUGCGCAGGCGGGAGAUUAAGUCGGCGGGGAAAUUUUGCAGUUCAACUGUAAAAGUGCCUUCGGAACUGGUUUUCUUUAGUGUAGAUGAAGUAGGCGGAAUUUGUGGGUUAGCGGGUGAAUGCAUAGAUAUCACGAGGAACUCCGAUUGCGCAGGCAGCUUACUAAACUACUACUGACGCUCAGGCACGAAGGCGUGGGGAUCAAACAGGAUUAGAUACCCUGGUAGUCCACGCAGUAAACGAUGAUUACUAGCUGUUUGCGAUACAAUGUAAGCGGCUGAGCGAAAGCGUUAAGUAAUCCACCUGGGGAGUACGUUCGCAAGAAUGAAACUCAAAUGAAUUGACGGGG
rnacentral:rRNA from 1 species